CACAAGAGACCCAAAUUAACUGUAGUACGGCGUAAAGAGUGGCACCAUGCUAUCCUAACCAACUAAGAUCAAAAUGCAACUAAGCCGUCAUAAGCCAAAGAUGCAUCUAAAACCACCCUCAACACGAUCUUAGCCUCUCCGACUAAUUAAAYCCCACGAAAGCUAGGGCACAAACUGGGAUUAGAUACCCCACUAUGCCUAGCCCUAAAUCUUGAUACUUCCUACCACUAAAGUAUCCGCCCGAGAACUACGAGCACAAAYGCUUAAAACUCUAAGGACUUGGCGGUGCCCCAGACCCACCUAGAGGAGCCUGUUCUAUAAUCGAUAACCCACGAUACACCCAACCACCCCUUGCCAAAACAGCCUAUAUACCGCCGUCGCCAGCCCACCUCUCCUGAGAGCCCAACAGUGAGCAUAAUAGCCCCACAUCCGCUAGCAAGACAGGUCAAGGUAUAGCCUAUGGGAUGGAAGAAAUGGGCUACAUUUUCUAAGAUAGACAAUUUCACGGAAGGGGACAUGAAACCGUCCCUAAAAGGCGGAUUUAGCAGUAAAGCRGGAUAAUAAAGCCCSCUUUAAACUGGCCCUGAGGCACGUACAUACCGCCCGUCACCCUCCUCACAAGCUACACACACAUAUAACUAAUACGUUCCCCACCAGCUGAAGAUGAGGUAAGUCGUAACAA
rnacentral:rRNA from 1 species